rnacentral:lncRNA from 1 species
CGUAUUUCAAAGAUUUAUUGGCAUUUAUUUUCUAUGAAAAACAUUCAAUUUGACUACAACCACAUAACGUGGUGUAAAGAUAAGUGUCUGCUGCGAAAGUAAGAGCAAUCUGACUUACGUGUCAUGCUUCAAUUAUAACCUAUUCAGUUCUUGUAUUUUAAAUGGCCUUCAGAUGACGAAAAGACGCUCCAUCAGGGUGUUCAGUCCUUCGUGCCUAAUAAGUGCGAUAUGUAAGGCACAAAGUUAGUAUGGUAGCUACUGACUUGAGUCAAAUUUAACCCCCAAAAAGUAUAUUCCUCAGUCUAGAGUAAGGAAUUGGCAGACCACGUGUGUCUACGAUUUACCUAUUGUAGGAAUUAUAUAACAUAUAUGCUUCAUCCAAAAGAAAUACAGCUUAUAUAGGUAUACAUAGUUCUAAAACUCUGUAUGGCAUCACUGCGCAGGGAAAAAAUAAAAUCCUUGUCUGAUCAAAUGGAAGCAGCAAACUUUUGAGGAACGAAAGGAC